rnacentral:rRNA from 1 species
GAUGAACGCUGGCGGCGUGCCUAAUACAUGCAAGUCGAGCGAACAGAUAAGGAGCUUGCUCCUUUGACGUUAGCGGCGGACGGGUGAGUAACACGUGGGUAACCUACCUAUAAGACUGGGAUAACUUCGGGAAACCGGAGCUAAUACCGGGUAACAUUUGGAACCGCAUGGUUCUAAAGUGAAAGAUGGUUUUGCUAUCACUUAUAGAUGGACCCGCGCCGUAUUAGCUAGUUGGUAAGGUAACGGCUUACCAAGGCGACGAUACGUAGCCGACCUGAGAGGGUGAUCGGCCACACUGGAACUGAGACACGGUCCAGACUCCUACGGGAGGCAGCAGUAGGGAAUCUUCCGCAAUGGGCGAAAGCCUGACGGAGCAACGCCGCGUGAGUGAUGAAGGGUUUCGGCUCGUAAAACUCUGUUAUUAGGGAAGAACAAAUGUGUAAGUAACUGUGCACGUCUUGACGGUACCUAAUCAGAAAGCCACGGCUAACUACGUG